GGAUGAACGCUAGCUACAGGCUUAACACAUGCAAGUCGAGGGGCAUCAGGAAGAAAGCUUGCUUUCUUUGCUGGCGACCGGCGCACGGGUGAGUAACACGUAUCCAACCUGCCCUUUACUCGGGGAUAGCCUUUCGAAAGAAAGAUUAAUACCCGAUAGCAUAAUGAUUCCGCAUGGUUUCAUUAUUAAAGGAUUCCGGUAAAGGAUGGGGAUGCGUUCCAUUAGGUUGUUGGUGAGGUAACGGCUCACCAAGCCUUCGAUGGAUAGGGGUUCUGAGAGGAAGGUCCCCCACAUUGGAACUGAGACACGGUCCAAACUCCUACGGGAGGCAGCAGUGAGGAAUAUUGGUCAAUGGGCGCUAGCCUGAACCAGCCAAGUAGCGUGAAGGAUGAAGGCUCUAUGGGUCGUAAACUUCUUUUAUAUAAGAAUAAAGUGCAGUAUGUAUACUGUUUUGUAUGUAUUAUAUGAAUAAGGAUCGGCUAACUCCGUGCCAGCAGCCGCGGUAAUACGGAGGAUCCGAGCGUUAUCCGGAUUUAUUGGGUUUAAAGGGAGCGUAGGUGGACUGGUAAGUCAGUUGUGAAAGUUUGCGGCUCAACCGUAAAAUUGCAGUUGAUACUGUCAGUCUUGAGUACAGUAGAGGUGGGCGGAAUUCGUGGUGUAGCGGUGAAAUGCUUAGAUAUCACGAAGAACUCCGAUUGCGAAGGCGGCUCACUGGACUGCAACUGACACUGAUGCUCGAAAGUGUGGGUAUCAAACAGGAUUAGAUACCCUGGUAGUCCACACAGUAAACGAUGAAUACUCGCUGUUUGCGAUAUACAGUAAGCGGCCAAGCGAAAGCAUUAAGUAUUCCACCUGGGGAGUACGCCGGCAACGGUGAAACUCAAAGGAAUUGACGGGGGCCCGCACAAGCGGAGGAACAUGUGGUUUAAUUCGAUGAUACGCGAGGAACCUUACCCGGGCUUAAAUUGCAGUGGAAUGAUGUGGAAACAUGUCAGUGAGCAAUCACCGCUGUGAAGGUGCUGCAUGGUUGUCGUCAGCCCGUGCCGUGAGGUGUCGGCUUAAGUGCCAUAACGAGCGCAACCCUUAUCUUUAGUUACUAACAGGUCAUGCUGAGGACUCUAGAGAGACUGCCGUCGUAAGAUGUGAGGAAGGUGGGGAUGACGUCAAAUCAGCACGGCCCUUACGUCCGGGGCUACACACGUGUUACAAUGGGGGGUACAGAAGGCAGCUAGCGGGUGACCGUAUGCUAAUCCCAAAAUCCUCUCUCAGUUCGGAUCGAAGUCUGCAACCCGACUUCGUGAAGCUGGAUUCGCUAGUAAUCGCGCAUCAGCCACGGCGCGGUGAAUACGUUCCCGGGCCUUGUACACACCGCCCGUCAAGCCAUGGGAGCCGGGGGUACCUGAAGUACGUAACCGCAAGGAUCGUCCUAGGGUAAAACUGGUGACUGGG
rnacentral:rRNA from 1 species